rnacentral:piRNA from 1 species
UGGAGUUUUCUUAUUCCUGGAGCA